UGGGGAAUAUUGGACAAUGGGCGAAAGCCUGAUCCAGCCAUGCCGCGUGUGUGAAGAAGGUCUUCGGAUUGUAAAGCACUUUAAGUUGGGAGGAAGGGCAGUAAGCGAAUACCUUGCUGUUUUGACGUUACCGACAGAAUAAGCACCGGCUAACUCUGUGCCAGCAGCCGCGGUAAUACAGAGGGUGCAAGCGUUAAUCGGAAUUACUGGGCGUAAAGCGCGCGUAGGUGGUUCGUUAAGUUGAAUGUGAAAGCCCCGGGCUCAACCUGGGAACUGCAUCCAAAGCUGGCGGGCUAGAGUAGGGCAGAGGGUGGUGGAAUUUCCUGUGUAGCGGUGAAAUGCGUAGAGAUCUGGAGGAAUACCGAUGGCGAAGGCAGCCAUCUGGCCUAACACUGACGCUGAGGUACGAAAGCAUGGGGAGCAAACAGG
rnacentral:rRNA from 1 species